CAACAAUUAGUUCGUUCUACGCGCGGUUUCGAGAACCACGUCGAUGUGAGGCCUGUUCAUUUAAACCUCGUGGUCACCGAUUGUUGGCUUCUACAGAAGAGGUAAUAAUAUAGAAACGAGAUGGUGAAGGGAUCGAGUUUCAUCGCCGGUCUCGUUUUUCUCUCAAGCGCUUCCUAUCGGCUUCCAGCGAGCGUUGUUCCUAUAUUUACAGACCCACACGCGCCCCUCGGUUCCGGUUUCCAGCUCUUUUCCCCUUCUCCUUUCUCCCCUCAGCAAUCACGAACUGCGUGCCGAGACAGUCAUCAUCGGA